CCACCUUGGCCUCCCAAAGUGCUGGGAUUACAGGCAUGAACCACUUUGCCUUGCCAGAAAAAUCAUAAUUAUUUUAGUUAUGAAAAUCAUAAUUUCUCACAAAAAUAAUUUGCCCUUUUUAUUAAACAGAUCCUAGUAUUCCUGAAAUUCUGUGGUGCUUUUUCUAUAUGUAAUGUGAUACUCUGACGAAAUAGCUGAUUUAGGUAGCUGCUCACAUAUGUUUGCUUUAAAUUGAAAAGCUGGCCUAUGAGAAUGAGUGUUGUAUAAAAAUGGUUUAUGUGAACUAAAAAGUUGUUUGCAUUUUGUGGCAAAUAAAAGCACCAAAUUCCCAGAUCCUAAAUGUUUAAGUAAUGAAAUAUUUGAAGUACCUCUGAAUUUACACAUCGGCAUUCCACUCAUUUAGGGACUUAUUGAUUUUAAGAUUUUUCAUUCAUCAAAAGGGAAAAUGUGAGCUGCCAUAUGUAUAAUUUUUGUCAUCCAAAAAAGAGAUUUAAAGUUGAAAAUUAAAGUACAGGCCGUGGUGGGUCAUACCUGUAAUCCCAGCACUUUGGGAGGCAGAGGCAGGAGGAUUACUUGAGCCCAGCAGUUUGAGGAUGCAGUGAGCUGUGGUCACAUCACUGCACUGUAGCCAGAGUGACAGAGGGAGACCCUGUCUCUAAAACAAAACAAAGCAAACAAAAAGGCUGCUUAGAAAUCAUGAACUGUUCUUUUUACUAUCAGGACAUGUGAUCAUAUGUCUACUCGGGAGUAAGGUCUAGCCAGUUCUCAGUAGAUGUUCAGUUAUUAAAUUGGAAUGAAGGCAUGAAUGUGGGGAUGAAGUGGAGGAGGGGCUGAGUUGGAGAUACUGGUGAUUUGGGAGGUGUUAGUAACACUGAAUGUGGGCAUAGAAGUGGUGAGGAAGAGGAGUCAAGGAUGAGUUGAGGGUUUCUGGUUUGGGUGCCUUGGAAGAUGGUGCUAGCAAGCAGCCACUCACCAAGAAAGCAAGUAAGGGGAAAGAUCAGGUUUAGGAGGGAGGAUGCAUUCAGGCAAUGAAUGUAUGGCAUACACCAGGCAGUGAGUAAAUUGUGAGUGAGUAAAUCUGGGCCUGUGUGUUUUGAGAUGUCUGUGGGAUAUUUAAGUUUCUCUGGUUUCUUAUCAAGAAGGUAGAACUGGUCUGCAGAGAGAGCUUUUGGAUUUGUUGAAGUCAUGGGCUUAGAUGCAGCCAUCUGAACUGUGUGUGUAAAG